rnacentral:rRNA from 1 species
AAUGAACGUUGGCGGCGUGGAUUAGGCAUGCAAGUCGAGCGAGAACCGUAGCAAUACGGGGACAGCGGCGAAAGGGAGAGUAACACGUGGGUACCUACCCUCGGAUUCGGGAUAGCCACGGGAAACUGUGGGUAAUACCGAAUAACGUCUCCGGACCAAAGGUGUGAUUCCGUCCGGGGAGGGGCCCGCGUCCUAUUAGCUAGUUGGUGAGGUAACGGCCCACCAAGGCGAAGAUGGGUAUGGGGUGUGAGAGCAUGCCCCCACUCACUGGGACUGAGACACUGCCCAGACACCUACGGGUGGCUGCAGUCGAGGAUCUUCGGCAAUGGGGGAAACCCUGACCGAGCGACGCCGCGUGCGGGAUGAAGGCCUUCGGGUUGUAAACCGCUGUCAGAGGGGAGGAAAUGCCGGGAAGUAAUUCAUAAUCGACCCGGUUUGACCUAUCCUCAGAGGAAGGACGGGCUAAGUUCGUGCCAGCAGCCGCGGUAACAC